rnacentral:rRNA from 1 species
UACGAAGGGGGCUAGCGUUGCUCGGAAUCACUGGGCGUAAAGGGUGCGUAGGCGGGUCUUUAAGUCAGGGGUGAAAUCCUGGAGCUCAACUCCAGAACUGCCUUUGAUACUGAAGAUCUUGAGUUCGGGAGAGGUGAGUGGAACUGCGAGUGUAGAGGUGAAAUUCGUAGAUAUUCGCAAGAACACCAGUGGCGAAGGCGGCUCACUGGCCCAUAACUGACGCUGAGGCACGAAAGCGUGGGAGCAAACAGG